UUAUGUCCUAUUUCUUCUGCAAGGAGACA
rnacentral:piRNA from 1 species